AUUUCCACCAUGUUUCUUUCGAACCCUGGUUCCCAAAUACGAGAAGCCGACAGCGACGGCGGCGGCUCUAAAUCCUGUACCAGUCUGUCCCCAUCCGGUGCCGACGUGUAUCGAGGGAGACGGCGACGAUCCUCCUCUCACGCCUUCUCUCUUGUGGCGGCAAUGGAGUCCUAGCGACGGUGCCUACAUGGCUACACCCUACAGCUCGUCAAGCCAACUUGGGAUGGAGCCGACGGAGUACUUUGAUGGGGGAGACAUGAAUGGGGACUCGAAGGCGCCUGUUUCUGUCACCAGAUGUUGCCACGUCCUCAAUUGGAUUUGCCCGAUAGCCUUUACAGGUACUUCUAUUUCGGAUUGCCCCCAUGUUCUGUAGUAUUAUUCUAAUUUCAGAUAUUUGCUCCCUCACUAAUGGCAAUAUGAAAGUCAAAAAGAACAAGUGGGCAUAGUUCUUUCCUGGUCUUCAGCGGAAGUGAUUAAUGAAUUUCCUAGCUGAUUGUGUUGUAGUGCAAUAAACCACAGUUGAUUGCUGAACAUGCCCCUUUCAUGUCCAAAAAAUUUGCCACUCCAUACCUGAACAAGUAGGUUCCUAGAUCUCUAUGCUUACAAUGUUUUGAUGCAUAACACUUUGUGCAAAAAGAAUUUGUUCUGAAGAUCCGGCGGAAUUUGUUCUAGUUUCCAGUACACGUUCAUAUCGGACGAGAGUUGUUUGAAAUAGUACAUUAUUUCUCUCUUGUCACCAAAGUUGCAGAUACACAAUGACAAUUGGCAACGUUGAGUGAUGCAAGAAGGAACUCCGAGCCAGUGGAAUGUGGCCAUUGAGCUGAAGCAGAAUGGCAUGCCUGCGGAAAGUCACUAUUUCAGUUGUAUGAGUCGUGUUUUUGCACUAAUUUUGAUACAUCACUUUCUUCCUGUCUCAAUUCCAGCUCGAAUGAUGUACUGAUGAGAACUAACAAGAAGAUUGGUGAAUACUAGCACACUUUGAUGUAACCUGAACUCGUGAACCAGAAAACAAUGGAGGACUGAAUGAGUCAUGUUCAAUUCUAAGUAUCGUGUUCCUCAAAAUUUAUGAUUGUGUAGCCUGAAAAGGUAGAUGCUGGAGCUACAUUUUGGAUUACUUCUGAGGAGAUCCUUUCUCAGUUGAAAUAUGGGAGGAGUUUUGUAGCGUCUGCUGUACAAACGUCACAAAGACUGACAAUGUAUAGGCUAGUUAGUAAGAUCAGUUCCUAUCAUAUGCCAAAGGACAGAGAUCUGUGGGCACCUGGGAUUUGUCUUCUCAUAGCUAUGGUUUGUUAUGUACCUUAGAUCUGUCGAAUUCAAAACUCCUGGACCAGAAACACUGACAACAAGAUUGGCGCAUAUUGGCACCGUGUUCA